AACAUGACAAAUUUAUUUGAAAGUGGGCAUUGCAAUGUAGAAUAUGGUGUCAUAGUAAACUAUAGGUGUAUUCAGGGAGGUAAAGGAAGAUAAGGGGUUUAAAAGGAAAAACGAGGAGGAUUACGUAAGUUGUUUUGAAACAAUUAUCCUUGGCUACAAAGAUCAGUAACAAAGGGGAUGGCCAGUCCAAGGUUGGACAGGCAGUUGCUGCGCAAAUGUCCUUGAAGCAUUUUUUUGUGUAGUUUUGUGGCCUUUGUGCAAGGUUGUGGUUUUGGCAGUCUUUUGUGCUAAUUCUUUAUAUCAGGCAAUUAUUAGUGAGAACUUUCCCAUCACGGCUUUCCCUGACUCCAUUCUCUGACAGCUUUCACAAUCUAGAGACAGAAUCCCGGAGGGAGAGGAGUACCAAAUAGCUUAAGAGUUUUUUUUUGUUUUUGUUUUUUUUCUUAAAAAAAAAACCGCUAAACUCUACCCUGAUCAGUGAAAAGAAUUUAGCUGAAAGAUGCAGUUUCUUCUUGGCAGAUUCAGACAAGAAGUGCGGCGGAAGCUUACACCUGCACGUGGUGGGACAGAGGCAAGAACGGAUGGUCUGGCUGAGGCUGAGAGAACCAAGCUGGAUUAGGAUCGGCUUGAGGGCCCGGCGUCGUCAGUGGUGACCUCUCUGACCUGAGGCAAGCAACUAUAAUGAAUGGAAAGGAAACCGGAUUGUACUUUAAAUCCGAGAACAUUCUCUACUCUCCAGAACAAGUCAUCUGCAGGCGCAGGCAGUGGAAUCCGUGAGGCCAGCUGUACGGCGGGCCGCCCCGGACCCAGGCUUGGCUCCUCACUUUCCGCUGUUUUUAGUGCGGUCCUACAAGUGCCCUGGUGCAGCCCGAGAUCAGUAAUAAAUGCAGCUGAAAUACACCGGCUCCCACGUUCUCGCGGGGGUACCUGCCAGGCCGGCGUCCACGCUCCUCCCCGGCUCCCGGCCGACCGCGUUCUCGGCGGAGGCAUCAACCACGCGGGCACGCAAAGCCACGAGGGCCGAAUCUCAGCGACUUCUUCCCGCUGUGCCUCCCGCACGCUCCGGGGCGGGCGCCGACAGCCCCCGGGUGCAGCUGCGGAUGCUCGGGGAAGCGUGGCCUGGGCAGGUGGCUCCGCUGCUCUCUCGGAGCGCCACCAGCGAGAGGGGCGACCCGAGAACAAAGGCGGGAGAGGAGCGGCGACCGCGAGCGCGUAGAGGCGGAGGCCGCGCAGUCUCCGCGCGACUGCUCCGGGCAGGGCGACCCCCGGCAGAGAGGGGGCGGGGCGGGG
rnacentral:lncRNA from 1 species